GACGAACGCUGGCGGCGUGCUUAACACAUGCAAGUCGAACGGAAAGGCCCUGCUUGCAGGGUACUCGAGUGGCGAACGGGUGAGUAACACGUGGGUGAUCUGCCCUGCACUUCGGGAUAAGCCUGGGAAACUGGGUCUAAUACCGGAUAGUAGCCAUUUUUAGUGUGAUGGUUGGAAAGUUUUUUCGGUGUAGGAUGAGCUCGCGGCCUAUCAGCUUGUUGGUGGGGUAAUGGCCUACCAAGGCGGCGACGGGUAGCCGGCCUGAGAGGGUGGACGGCCACAUUGGGACUGAGAUACGGCCCAGACGCCGACGGGAGGCAGCAGUGGGGAAUAUUGCACAAUGGGCGCAAGCCUGAUGCAGCGACGCCGCGUGGGGGAUGACGGCCUUCGGGUUGUAAACUCCUUUCGCUAGGGACGAAGCUUUUUGUGACGGUACCUAGAUAAGAAGCACCGGCUAACUACGUG
rnacentral:rRNA from 1 species